GAUGAACGCUGGCGGCGUGCCUAAUACAUGCAAGUCGAGCGAACAGACGAGGAGCUUGCUCCUCUGACGUUAGCGGCGGACGGGUGAGUAACACGUGGAUAACCUACCUAUAAGACUGGGAUAACUUCGGGAAACCGGAGCUAAUACCGGAUAAUAUAUUGAACCGCAUGGUUCAAUAGUGAAAGACGGUUUUGCUGUCACUUAUAGAUGGAUCCGCGCCGCAUUAGCUAGUUGGUAAGGUAACGGCUUACCAAGGCAACGAUGCGUAGCCGACCUGAGAGGGGGAUGGGCCACAGUGGAACUGAGACACGGUCCAGAACCCUACGGGAGGCAGCAGGAGGGAAUCUUCCGAAAUGGGCGAAAGCCUGACGGAGCAACGCCGGGGGAGUGAUGAAGGGCUUCGGAUCGGAAAACGUUUUUAUUAGGGAAGAAAAAAUGUGUAAGUAACUAUGCACGUCUGGACGGUACCUAAGCAGAAAGCCACGGCUAACUACGU
rnacentral:rRNA from 1 species